rnacentral:rRNA from 1 species
GUUACAAUGGCGUGGACAAAGGGAAGCCACCUGGCGACAGGGAGCGAAUCCCAAACCACGUCUCAGUUCGGAUCGGAGUCUGCAACCCGACUCCGUGAAGCUGGAUUCGCUAGUAAUCGCGCAUCAGCCAUGGCGCGGUGAAUACGUUCCCGGGCCUUGUACACACCGCCCGUCAAGCCAUGGGAGCCGGGGGUACCUGAAGUCCGUAACCGAAAGGAUCGGCCUAGGGUAAAACUGGUGACUGGGGCUAAGUCGUAACAAGGUAGC